AUGGAAGUUGCAGGAGGCCCAGGAGGCCUGGGUUUCCGGCUCCCUGCGACCCACCCCGGUCCCCCGUACCUGAGCCUCUCCAUCUCCACAGCCCCUGCGGUUCCCGUGGGCUACGGACCAGGCAUUGGUGAGGGCGGGAAGCUGCAGAAGCCAGUUUACAGGAAUGGGCUAGGAGCUGGAGUCUUCCCAGGCCAAGGGGCCCAGCCAGCCCUGGGAAGGGGCAUGAGCCCACUAAAGCCAGGUGAGCCCAUUCCCGCCCCUCCCCCACCUUGCCCUGAGGUUGCCGCUGCUGGAGCCCUCAUACCCGCUUUUCUCCUCAGGCUUUACUCCGGGACUGCAGUUCCCAGCAGCUCUGGGAGGAGGUGUGAAACCUCAAAAGCCAGGCAAGUGAGAGGACCCCACCCCACCCCCGUCUCUACCUACACCUCCACCUGCCUCCUUCUAGAACCCUCCUCACUAAAUUACUACCACUCAUAUCCCCGCUUUUUCUUUCCAGGAUAUGGCAACAGAAAUGGGGUGGGGGCCAAGCCAGGUCCCUGCCAUGGGAGGGUCCCUCCACUGCUUCUCCCCAGGCCUCCCACUUCGGGGUUCCCUUCUGCUAAAGGGGGCGGCGGCUGGGGCCCCAAAUCCCAGCCCUCUCCCCCAGGGCAGAAUGGCAAGUUCCCAGCACCGACUCCUGCCAUCCAGUGGGGGCUGAAACCUCAGAAAGCAGGAUACCAGCCCCUGAAUGGCUAUGGACUGGGAACAGAACUGGGAUUUGGUGGUGGCCUCAAGCCUCAGAAAGUUGGUUUUGCUUAUGGGAAUGGUCUGGGAGCUGGGGUCUUCCCUGAGGCCCACCUGCAGCCAGAGUUUCCCGGGGCCAAUGGCUUUAGGAAUGGGUAUGGGGAGGAAGCACCAGUGUACUCCAAAGCAGCAGUUCCAGGCUCUGAAGGAAAUGGUCAGGCCAAGGCCCUAAGGGGCUCUUCUUGGCCCUCCAUGCACCCUUGGGGGCUUGUCUUGAAGCCUGGAUAUGGGCCUGGUGGCACAUACCCAGGGGUCGGGAGCCAGCCAGCGACCUAUGGACAGCUAAGGCCAGAGCUGGGCCCUGGACCGUUUGGCAGCCCUCCAGUGAAGAGAGACAGCAGUGGCCCACUGCGAAAUGGCUAUGGAGGCCACUGUCCUCUUGGGAAAUGCUGAACACCGAGGCCCUUUCACUGCCCACCCUGACAGCCUCUCUACCACAGCCGUGUGUUGGGCGAGGAGGGCCAGAUCCUGGGGCUUGGCUGCUGGCCGGGGGUCUCCUGCGGGCUAAGAGUAUUAAUAAAGGUGGC
ensembl:lncRNA